AUGGUGGUCGCGCUUGGUCCCGGCAGGUUCUACGGCGGCAGCCUCCCGCGCCCCCGUGUCUUCCCCAGCGACCGCGUCGACCCGCCAGCGCCCGUCACCGACGCGCUGCUCUGCUGGGCGCGCGACGCGCACUGGUCCAUGGGCGGGCUCGCCGUGAAGCGCCUCCGCCUGCAAGGCCGCAUCGAGGGCAACCUCGUCAAGCUUCGCCGCACCGCGCGCCGCGACGCCAGGGUCUCCGCCAAGUCCGCCAAGGCCAAGGUCCGUGCCGCCGGGCACGGGCCAGCCCCUGCCACCCUCGACGACGCGUUGGGCUCCAACGACGAUGAUUCGGAGGACGAGGCGGAGGUCGCGGCCCAGGAGAAGGCGCUUCGGUGCGAGGUCGUCGAUGAUGACGAGGACUCCGAGUCCAGCGAGUCGGAGGGGGAGGGGGUCCCGCUCGUGACCAUCGCCGCGGCCGGCUUACCGCUGGAGCCGGGUUAG
rnacentral:rRNA from 1 species